rnacentral:sRNA from 2 species
CUGGCUGGUUGUUUCAUGUCUAAUGUCCACGAGUUCGCAUCUUCAUUCGGGCGAACAAUUGGCCAUCCAUGCAUGCACCACUUAAACCUGCCCGCUAUUAGCCACAACGGGUGAAGCUAGCAUCUCAAAUGACGAGAAGAGCCGUUGAGAAGCGGCUAUCUCUAGCUCGUUGGAUCUCCUUGUAGUAGUAGCGGGUAGUUAUGGGAGUUUGGAAUUUGCGUGGUCUGCCAGGAUCACGAAAGUACGCAGGGACUUGAGCUCUAGCCAGGGUCUUCUCCUAAGUUCCUGGAGCUUGAUUGCGCUAGUGAGACUGUUCUGGGGUGGGGCAAUGAUGUGCGGCAUCAUACAUACCACGGAUGGCCUGUGGAGGGCAAUGCUCCUGAGGCACGACAAACCCUCCUGCGGCAUUCCUCAAGUUCAGCUUUAACCAUUUAUCCUACGACUUUCUGCAGCGAGAUGGAUACGAGAAUAUCACACCAGAACACUGAUCGGUCGAACGUUUUACCAGCCUGAAGGCCAGCAGUCGUCGCUCUCAAGCGCUAAGGCAUCUGGCCCUGUACACACUCCACCCAACCGAACCGGAUCGAACAGACCAAAUUGAUUGCGGACCUAGAGUUCCGGGCUUCGCCUAAGCAGCUCUGUGCAUAGUACUGUACAGUACAUGGACAUUGUAGUCGUGGCUACAAAUUGAAUGAACUCUGCACC